rnacentral:rRNA from 1 species
GAUGAACGCUGGCGGCGUGCCUAAUACAUGCAAGUCGAGCGAACGGACGAGAAGCUUGCUUCUCUGAUGUUAGCGGCGGACGGGUGAGUAACACGUGGAUAACCUACCUAUAAGACUUGGAUAACUUCGGGAAACCGGAGCUAAUACCGGAUAAUAUUUUGAACCGCAUGGUUCAAAAGUGAAAGACGGUCUUGCUGUCACUUAUAGAUGGAUCCGCGCUGCAUUAGCUAGUUGGUAAGGUAACGGCUUACCAAGGCAACGAUGCAUAGCCGACCUGAGAGGGUGAUCAGCCACACUGGAACUGAGACACGGUCCAGACUCCUACGGGAGGCAGCAGUAGGGAAUCUUCCGCAAUGGGCGAAAGCCUGACGGAGCAACGCCGCGUGAGUGAUGAAGGUCUUCGGAUCGUAAAACUCUGUUAUUAGGGAAGAACAUAUGUGUAAGUAACUGUGCACAUCUUGACGGUACCUAAUCAGAAAGCCACGGCUAACUACGUG